CUCUGUGGCCAUACCACCCUGAACGUGCCUGAUCUCGUCUGAUCUCGGAAACUAAGCAGGGUCGGGCCUGGUUAGUACUUGGAUGGGAAACAGUGAGUCCUUCGAUGGAGUUGCUAUGC
rnacentral:rRNA from 1 species